UCUCGCAUCUACCUAAGCUGAGUGGAUGAAGUUAUUCGAGAUUUGUGUUGUUAGGAGCUUAGUGAACGAAGUUGCUCAAUAUUUGUGUUGCUAGGCAACACUAAGUACCCGGUGGAUUGGUCGAGGUUCACACAAGGUAGCCUAGAUACAACACUUAUAAAGAGAAAAGUUUAUAUUGCUCAAGUAAAGUUUAUAAGAGUGAUUAGCUUAUUUUAUCUUUACUUUGUCAUAUGAGGUUACUUGGUUCUGUAAAUUUCCUUGCUCUGCUCUUCUUAUUUCUUUUGUCACUAACUUAAAAAGGAGUUAUCUUCUUAAGAAUCUUAAAGAAGUUUCCCCGAUUAAUAAAUAUGAAAGGAUGUACGAAUUGAUAAAAUGAGAAACUUAUUGCAGUCAUGUUAGUUGAUUCUUGACAUUUCAGUUACAGACUUGACGUUUAAUUUUUGAAUGCUACAUUUCUCUUUUUACUAUUAAGUUUUGAUUUCUGAUGGUGUGUGGCAAGUGGAGUCGUUUAGUUUAUGCUUUUUGUGGUUUCUUUUUCACAAUUAUUGACAUUGUGCCUUCUCAUAUCCAUAGUGAAGCAAUUGGAGCAGUAGUUAAAGGUUGUACUCUUCUGAUUAAAGGAGACGACAAGACAUAAAAAAUCCAUCAUUGGACAAGGAAGAAAGGGAAAGAAAGAUCUUAUGAACAGUAUGAGGAACAAUUACCUAAAAUCUUAUUCCAUGUGCUUCUUCAUAGCCAGAGCCCUAAGAUUAUUCAUCGAGACAUCAAGUGUGACAAUGUGUUUGUUGCUAGUGAUGGGAAGCAAGUUACACUUUGGAGAUUUUGAGUUGGCUGUUUGUAUUAUGAAUGGUGAUUUUGUGAAAGAAAAAGAUCCUAAAGGUACCCAUGAAUUCAUGGCUCUAGGGUGCUACAAUGGUGAAUACAAUGAGUUGAUCGAUGUAUAUUUAUUUGGAAUGUGUCUUCUUGAGAUGAUUACCGGUAAAUAUCCAUAUAUGGAAUGCAGCAAUCAAAUGCAUAUAUUUAAGAAAGUGUGUACUGGUGUAAAGCCUGUCUCUCGAAAA